GGGCUGUUUUCUUACCUCAUCAUUGAUAGGCACACUUGCACUAAGCCUUACAAUACCUCUGUCCAUAAUAGCUGACAUGUGUAUGCAAAAGGUGCAGUUUUCUUGGUUAUUUUUUGCAGGAGCUAUCCCUGUAUUUUUUUCAUUUUUUAUUGUAACUCUCCUAUGCCAUUAUAAUAACUGGGAUCCUGUGAUGGUGGGAAUCAGAAGAAUAUUUGCUUUUAUAUGCAGAAAACAUCGAAUUCAGAGAUGGAGCCUUGCUCUGUUGCCCAAGCUGGAGUGCAGUGGAGAGAUCUCGGGUCACUGCAACCUCCGCCUCCUGGGCUCAAGCAAUUCUCCUGCCUCAGCCUCCUGCGUAGCUGGGACUACAGGCGCACGCCACCACACCCAGCUAAUUUUUGUAUUUUUAGUAGAGACGGGGUUUCACCAUGUUGGUCAGGAUGGUCUCGAUCUCUUGAACUCGUGAUCUACCCUCCUUGGCUUCCCAAAGUGCUGGGAUUAUAGGCGUGUGCCACCACACCCGGCCCACAGCAUCAUUUUUCAAGGGUCUUUAGGGUGACCAGGUGUCCAGGUUUGCCAAGGACAGUCCCAGUUUCUACCUGCUGUCCUAGGACAAUCAUGAAUAGUGCCCCUUUCAGUUUCAAAAGUGUCAUAGUUUAGACAUUAAAUUACCUGACCACCCUUAUAUGCCCCAUGUUUCUUAACAUCUAGGCUGCUGACAAAAUUCACAUUUUCUGACUGUCAGUCUAGUGUUCUUUAUACUAGACUGAUAUGGAUCCGCAAAGGA
rnacentral:sRNA from 1 species